rnacentral:tRNA from 1 species
GCGAGGGUGGCGGAACUGGCAGACGCGCUAGAUUCAGGUUCUAGUGGGCUAACGCUUCGUGAGGGUUCGAAUCCCUUCUCUCGCACCA